CUUGAGCGAAUUCUCAAUUUUCGACGCCAUAUGUGCUGUUGUUAAGCACAUAAAGAAGCAGACCCAGUUGGGAACGCAUAGAAAAAGAUAGACAUUGCUAUGAUCACCGUCGGUCCAAGGAGGUAUGGUCCGUGCAUGUUCCCAGACGAUCCGUCAGAUGCUGAUGUUCCCGCGGCCGCUGGUGUAGUUGGAGUUGCCGAUGAAGAAGUAUUUGUGAAUAUUGCAGCAUCUGGAGAGCUAGGAGAUAGCCCUAGAAGCUCUGUGCAUUUGAGGAGACAAAACAGACAGAGUUAAUGAAUUAAGAUUAGCAACAAAUUGACAUAAUGCUGUUUACUUACUAAGAAAGUCAAGACAACCGCUUUGCCAGUUGCAACCAGCUUAAUGUUGAAAGGGCCAUGAGCCCCAUUACAUCGCAUUUAUAACAUUUCUCCAGCAGCCAACCUAACUAACCCGCAUUAAUUAAGAGCAUUAAACUGACGGUUGAUCAUGGCAACGGGCCACCUAGAGACAUUUUGGUGCCUAAUCUAUUAAAUUUGUGGAAAGAAUCAGAGCAAGCGUACGUUUCACUUUAUAUUAUUAUAGGAUAGUUCAGAUUUCUACUUAUAUAAAUUUUUACAAGAUUAUCUGUACAUAUAUGAUUACUUACACCUAAUUCUAUUUGAGAGGAAAAAAAACAGAAAGCUGAAGGACUCGAACCCACGCCCUCGCUAAUUAAGACAAUAAUAUCGAUAGCAGAAAUAGAAUAUCUAAAUUGCACGCAAAUUAAGGAAAGCCACAAUGUGCAUGUGAGCUGGAUCUAACUACUUAAAACUUACCCAUUAAUUAAAAUCUUCGCAUCUAAGCACAUACUCGAAUACACUAAAACAUUUGAUCUUCACAAUUGGUUGGGAUUUCGCAACGUAAAUUAUUUGAGAUAACUACUUAAAAUUAAUUAGUAAAAUUAUCUAUCAAAGAAAGCGUUGCAUUUGCAUGCAAACAAAAAGAAAUAUCAAGGAACAUACUUGGGCAGAGACUGGUGCUGGCAUUUUUCAACUGGCAAGCGGAUGGAAGCUGAAGCAGCUUAGGCACCUGCACGCCCAAGUUCUUAACCAUAUCGCCUUCACCGCCAUUAGCCUCCUUGAUGAUAUAACACAAACACUUUGGAUCGUCGUCUUUUAUACCUUUCACAGCGCUGCAACAUUCUUUGGACGGAGUCGUAAUCUUCCCCCUUGCAAAAUCCAAACAGGCCAUCGUCUUCUGCAAAUACUCACUACACUCCUUAUUUGUAGCGUCAUCAGCCGUUACAACCCUUAACGCUAUGAAGCCAAACAAUAUGCCACAUAGAAACCCUUUUUUCAUUCCCAUCAUCU
rnacentral:lncRNA from 1 species